rnacentral:rRNA from 1 species
AGUGAACGCUGGCGGUAGGCCUAACACAUGCAAGUCGAACGGCAGCACAGUAAGAGCUUGCUCUUACGGGUGGCGAGUGGCGGACGGGUGAGGAAUACAUCGGAAUCUACUUUUUCGUGGGGGAUAACGUAGGGAAACUUACGCUAAUACCGCAUACGACCUACGGGUGAAAGCAGGGGAUCUUCGGACCUUGCGCGAUUGAAUGAGCCGAUGUCGGAUUAGCUAGUUGGCGGGGUAAAGGCCCACCAAGGCGACGAUCCGUAGCUGGUCUGAGAGGAUGAUCAGCCACACUGGAACUGAGACACGGUCCAGACUCCUACGGGAGGCAGCAGUGGGGAAUAUUGGACAAUGGGCGCAAGCCUGAUCCAGCCAUACCGCGUGGGUGAAGAAGGCCUUCGGGUUGUAAAGCCCUUUUGUUGGGAAAGAAAAGCAGCAGGUUAAUACCCCGCUGCUCUGACGGUACCCAAAGAAUAAACACCGGCUAACUUCGU